rnacentral:rRNA from 1 species
UCACCAUACAGCCAUGAACACACCAAGAAUGUUUGACUUCGGGAAAACUAAGCAUGGUUGAGUCUAAUUAGUACUUGGAUGAGAAACCACCAGGGAAAACCAGGGAUACCUGGC